rnacentral:lncRNA from 1 species
UAUAGAAAUCUGGCAGUUCUUAAGACUAGUGAGUUUCCUCUUUUUAAGUUAAGGGCGGUGCUACACACAGGCAUUUUGUAAAGUUGCAACAGCUAACUUGAUCUGAGUGAUAAAUCCGACCUUGGGGAGAAGACUGAGAAAAUGGGAGUGAACUUAGAUCUCUGUCUACUGUGUGGGUUAUGGAGCUCAAGCUCGGCAGCAUGUGACUUUAACUGCCAGCCCCUGAGGAGGUAAG